rnacentral:rRNA from 1 species
AUUGAACGCUGGCGGCAUGCCUUACACAUGCAAGUCGAACGGCAGCAUAGGAGCUUGCUCCUGAUGGCGAGUGGCGAACGGGUGAGUAAUAUAUCGGAACGUGCCCUAGAGUGGGGGAUAACUAGUCGAAAGACUAGCUAAUACCGCAUACGAUCUACGGAUGAAAGUGGGGGAUCGCAAGACCUCAUGCUCCUGGAGCGGCCGAUAUCUGAUUAGCUAGUUGGUGGGGUAAAAGCCUACCAAGGCGACGAUCAGUAGCUGGUCCGAGGGGACGACCAGCCACACUGGGACUGAGACACGGCCCAGACUCCUACGGGAGGCAGCAGUGGGGAAUUUUGGACAAUGGGGGCAACCCUGAUCCAGCAAUGCCGCGUGAGUGAAGAAGGCCUUCGGGUUGUAAAGCUCUUUUGUCAGGGAAGAAACGGUAGUAGCUAAUAUCUAUUACUAAUGACGGUACCUGAAGAAUAAGCACCGGCUAACUACGUGCCAGCCGCCGCAGUAA